AUGAGCCUUUUUAUACAGUGUUGUGAACUGAGCUGUUUCAUGAUGCCAUUGUUCUCGGAUUGCCGGAGGAAAAAAAAAGAAAAAAAAAAGGAAGCAGAAUCUGGAAAAAUUAAUUUAAGAACAGCAGCAGCCCAAAGAAGAGCCAAUCUCUACAUCAGUUUGCAUUUAUUUUAUCCUCGCAGCUCUCAGAGACAAUUAGCUCGAAAAGAGCCUUCAGACGAGCUGAUUUUUGAAGGAAAGUGCUCCACGUACCAGCCUCCAGCAGCCCGUGGAAAAAGAACAACCAAGUUGUGUUUAUUUAGCACCUGGCACAACAAAGCUAUCCCUGGGCACUCGACGCCAACAUGUUCUGAAAUGUCUCCAGUCUCAGCACGCUGCAUCCAACGCAUCACGUAAAGGAAAAGAGUGGAUAUUAAGUGGAUUUAUAUGUCCUCCUCAGACUUUCUGAGAAAGAAAGUGGCCAUACGCUGAGGGAGUCACCCUGAAGUUGAUGGAAAUGAUUUGGGACAGCAGGUGGGGAUUUUCUUCUAUAGACCUGAAGGAUUUAGGAAGCAUUUCGUCCUAUUCUCUCCUACUAUUCUGUCUAUUUUUCACUUCUGAAAAAUAUUUACGGCCCCAAAUGGAAGCGUUUCACAUUUAUCCUGCCCUAAAGCUUUUUCUCUAACUGCUGCCACAUAACACCAAGGCAGAAGAGAGGCUGGAGCCCAUGAGCUGCGGCUGAGGACUUCUCCAAAGAGAUUGAACCUGACUUCUUGGCACGCUGCCCUACCUUUUUGUACGAGAAGCAGAGUCUUUCAGGGCACAAAAGGAUAUAAAGCGAGUGUUUAAGGUAAAAAUCAAACCACUGGGCUAUCACCACAAUUUCCUGUUCUUUCGAGAAAAAAACUAAAAAAUAUUGUUUCAUCUCACAUCGUUCCCUUUUUUAGACCUCUAGCUUUAGCCAUAUUUUGCUUUCGAUUUCAAUUUUAUGUCAUUUUUAAAGAGAUGUGUGUACUCUUCGUUGCAUCUUAGUUAUUUUUCCCAGCUGAUUCUUCCUUUCUUCCUCCCAGCUGACAUUCAGAUGCACACAUUGUAAUAAUGCUUUGUUAUCACUCAUUAAUCAGCAGGUCAGACCCAACAGCCUGUUUUUCUUGGGCUUAGUCCUCCUGUAAGAAGCAAUAACAGCGAUGCAGAUUUUCUGUCAAGCUAUUACUGUAGGAAUAAACAAGAAUAAAUACACUUGGGAUGUCA
rnacentral:lncRNA from 1 species